rnacentral:rRNA from 1 species
UACGAAGGGGGCUAGCGUUGUUCGGAAUCACUGGGCGUAAAGCGCACGUAGGCGGAUCUUUAAGUCAGGGGUGAAAUCCCGAGGCUCAACCUCGAAACUGCCUUUGAUACUGGGGAUCUCGAGUCCGGGAGAGGUGAGUGGAACUGCGAGUGUAGAGGUGAAAUUCGUAGAUAUUCGCAAGAACACCAGUGGCGAAGGCGGCUCACUGGCCCGGAACUGACGCUGAGGUGCGAAAGCGUGGGGAGCAAACAGG